AGAGUUUGAUCAUGGCUCAGGACGAACGCUGGCGGCGCGCCUAACACAUGCAAGUCGAACGAGAGAGAAGGAGCUUGCUUCUUCGAUCGAGUGGCGAACGGGUGAGUAACGCGUGAGGAACCUGCCUCAAAGAGGGGGACAACAGUUGGAAACGACUGCUAAUACCGCAUAAGCCCACAGGUCGGCAUCGACCAGAGGGAAAAGGAGCAAUCCGCUUUGAGAUGGCCUCGCGUCCGAUUAGCUAGUUGGUGAGGUAAUGGCCCACCAAGGCGACGAUCGGUAGCCGGACUGAGAGGUUGAACGGCCGCAUUGGGACUGAGACACGGUCCAAACUCCUACGGGAGGCAGCA
rnacentral:rRNA from 1 species